CCUACGGGUGGCAGCAGUGAGGAAUAUUGGUCAAUGGGCGAGAGCCUGAACCAGCCAAGUCGCGUGAGGGAGUACUGCCCUAUGGGUUGUAAACCUCGUUUGUCGGGGAGCAAAAGCCGGACGUUUCCGACUGUUAGAGUACCCGAAGAAAAAGCAUCGGCUAACUCCGUGCCAGCAGCCGCGGUAAUACGGAGGAUGCGAGCGUUAGCCGGAUUUCUUGGGUUUAAAGGGUGCGCAGGCGGAUUUUUAAGUAAGGGGUCAAAUCGUGGGGCUCAACCCCAUCCAGCCGUUGAAACUGGGGAUCUAGAGUGUGCGAGAGGUAUGCGGAAUGCGUGGUGUAGCGGUGAAAUGCAUAGAUAUCACGCAGAACCCCGAUUGCGAAGGCAGCAUACCGGUGCACAACUGACGCUGAGGCUCGAAAGCAUGGGUAGCGAACAGGAUUAGAUACCCUUGUAGUC
rnacentral:rRNA from 1 species